GCCCAGAAAGCCCAAUGCCUAUUGACCUAGAUCUUGUUCAGUCAUUCCUAAUUCCUAUAGGCUACUGUACGCGCACGCCGCACGAUGCUUCCUCUCCCUCUCAUCGCCUCCUCUCAGUCCUGCAGAUCCCUAAUCCCCAAAUGCGAUCAUUGCCGGUAGAACUGCACAGUGAUUCAGCGGCAAGCCGGCGAAUCGAUGGAACUUUGGUUUGAUCUGGUGAUUCUGGCCGGCCGAUAGUUGCGACAUAAUCUUGUGCUAAUCCACCAAGUCCAGGUCGGCUCUUCCAAGGAGGUUAUGGACAUAUUUUUGGUGAAACGGCCACUACCAUCUGCAGGAGGGACUUCAAGGCUUAGACGACAAGAUCGUGUAUCAAGCUUCAGCUUUCUGCGGCAAUGAUGAAUCAGAGGACUCCAAAAAUAAGGGGACUUUUUUGAUAGUUGGUACAAAAAUUAGCAAACCAGAAUGAGGAUGUAAGCAAGGUCGUCUUUUAGGAUGCUCCAAAAAAAUUGCAAAUGGGUGCCUCCAUAUAUUCAAAAAUAAAUUGCGAGUUAUUUUGCAAAGAUAACUAACAAGCUUCACUAUUGUGUAUUCAUUUCAUACAAUUUAUCUCUUCAAGUACUCAAAA